rnacentral:rRNA from 1 species
UACAGAGGGUGCAAGCGUUAAUCGGAAUUACUGGGCGUAAAGGGCGCGUAGGCGGUGAGAUAAGUGAGAUGUGAAAUCCCUGGGCUUAACCUAGGAACUGCAUCUUAUACUGUUUUGCUAGAGUACUGUAGAGGGUAGUGGAAUUUCCGGUGUAGCGGUGAAAUGCGUAGAGAUCGGAAGGAACACCAGUGGCGAAGGCGGCUACCUGGACAGAUACUGACGCUGAGGCGCGAAAGCGUGGGGAGCAAACAGG